rnacentral:rRNA from 1 species
CCUACGGGAGGCAGCAGUAGGGAAUAUUGCUCAAUGGGGGAAACCCUGAAGCAGCAACGCCGCGUGGAGGAUGAAGGUUUUAGGAUUGUAAACUCCUUUUGUUAGAGAAGAUUAUGACGGUAUCUAACGAAUAAGCACCGGCUAACUCCGUGCCAGCAGCCGCGGUAAUACGGAGGGUGCAAGCGUUACUCGGAAUCACUGGGCGUAAAGAGUGCGUAGGCGGGGUAAUAAGUCAGAUGUGAAAUCCUGUAGCUUAACUACAGAACUGCAUUUGAAACUGUUACUCUGGAGUGUGGGAGAGGCAGGUGGAAUUCUGGGGGGAGGGGAAAAAGCGGAAGAGAUCAGGAGGAAUACUCAGGGGGAAGGGGACCUGCUGAAACAUAACGGACGUUGAGGCCCGAAAGGGUGGGGAGCAAACAGGAUUAGACACCCUUGUAGUC